rnacentral:tRNA from 1 species
GUCCGGGUGGCGGAAUAGGUAGACGCGCUAGCUUGAGGUGCUAGUUCCCUUUACGGGGAAUGGGGGUUCAAGUCCCCCCUCGGACACAA